rnacentral:rRNA from 1 species
UAAGGAAUAUUGGUCAAUGGACGCAAGUCUGAACCAGCCAUGCCGCGUGAAGGAUGAAGGUCCUCUGGAUUGUAAACUUCUUUUACAGGGGAAGAAACUCCCGCAUUCCUGCGGGAUUGACGGUACCCUGGGAAUAAGCACCGGCUAACUCCGUGCCAGCAGCCGCGGUAAUACGGAGGGUGCAAGCGUUAUCCGGAUUCACUGGGUUUAAAGGGUGCGUAGGUGGGCAGGUAAGUCCGUGGUGAAAUCUCUGAGCUUAACUCAGAAACUGCCGUGGAUACUAUCGGUCUUGAAUACCGUGGAGGUGAGCGGAAUAUGUCAUGUAGCGGUGAAAUGCUUAGAUAUGACAUAGAACACCAAUUGCGAAGGCAGCUCACUACACGCUUAUUGACACUGAGGCACGAAAGCGUGGGGAUCAAACAG